rnacentral:rRNA from 2 species
AUUAGAUACCCGUGUAGUCCUAGCCGUAAACGAUACUCGCUAGGUGUCGGCCACGGUGCGACCGUUGUCGGUGCCGUAGGGAAGCCGUGAAGCGAGCCACCUGGGAAGUACGGCCGCAAGGCUGAAACUUAAAGGAAUUGGCGGGGGAGCACCACAACGGGUGGAGCUUGCGGUUUAAUUGGAUUCAACGCCGGAAAUCUUACCGGGACCGACAGCAAUAUGAAGGCCAGGCUGAAGACUUUGCCGGAUUAGCUGAGAGGUGGUGCAUGGC